GAUGAACGCUGGCGGCGUGCUUAACACAUGCAAGUCGAACGGUGAAGGCGGAGCUUGCUCUUCUGGAUCAGUGGCGAACGGGUGAGUAACACGUGAGCAAUCUGCCCCUGACUCUGGGAUAAGCGCUGGAAACGGCGUCUAAUACUGGAUACGAGCUGCGAAGGCAUCUUCAGCAGCUGGAAAGAACUUCGGUCAGGGAUGAGCUCGCGGCCUAUCAGCUUGUUGGUGAGGUAACGGCUCACCAAGGCGUCGACGGGUAGCCGGCCUGAGAGGGUGACCGGCCACACUGGGACUGAGACACGGCCCAGACUCCUACGGGAGGCAGCAGUGGGGAAUAUUGCACAAUGGGCGAAAGCCUGAUGCAGCAACGCCGCGUGAGGGACGACGGCCUUCGGGUUGUAAACCUCUUUUAGCAGGGAAGAAGCGAAAGUGACGGUACCUGCAGAAAAAGCGCCGGCUAACUACGUG
rnacentral:rRNA from 1 species